rnacentral:lncRNA from 1 species
UGUAGAUUUCGCAUCAGGAACCAUAGGGGCCAGAAAAAAUGUCAUAACAUUCGGAGACUACGGAAAAGAAGAGUGACUAAGAUCUCUGAAGAAGGGAAAAGCUAGAUGACUGGGCCACAAGAGGAAAAAAAGCAGCAAGACAGACAAUGAGUAGCCACUGCUGUUUGCCCUGGCCCAUCAAUGAGAAGAUCUGCUCUUAGAGCCCUGCUUUCCUGCUGAAGGCCCUGAAAUCACCUGUGUUCCAGGCCACCUGCUAACAAUAAAUAAUGCUGCCCUGAUGUGGGGAAUUAGCUCAAGUGGUAGAGCGCUUGCUUAGCACGCAAGAGGUAGUGGGAUCGAUGCCCACAUUCUCCAAGCUUUAUUAUUUAGACAUCGUGUCUCCAAACACUCAGGUCUCCAAACCCAAGUUAGUGUCUGAGAACAGGAUGCUGCUUUGGUUCAAGACGUAGGAGCAGCAAUAAUAGAGGGCUGGUGAUGGCUCCCUCUUGGCAUUCAGUAUAGUGUAGAUCUACCAUGUAAUUAAUUCUCUGUUUCUUUGAGGAGCUGUGAAACCAAGGGACAUAUACAACUGCUCUUUUCUCCCUGUUUCUACCUGCAGCUUUGUCCUAAAUGUGAGACAAUUAUGAAAAGUGCAGCGCAGAGCCACUUGGGUAAAUACAGCCCCGGCUUUCUGCUCAGGGGACAGAGUUUGAGGCACUGCAGAGGAACCGGCCAAAGUAUGAGACCCAUAUAUUGAGAGUAACAG